rnacentral:rRNA from 1 species
UACGAAGGGGGCUAGCGUUGCUCGGAAUCACUGGGCGUAAAGCGCACGUAGGCGGAUCUUUAAGUCAGGGGUGAAAUCCUGGAGCUCAACUCCAGAACUGCCUUUGAUACUGGGGAUCUCGAGUCCGGGAGAGGUGAGUGGAACCCCGAGUGUAGAGGUGAAAUUCGUAGAUAUUCGCAAGAACACCAGUGGCGAAGGCGGCUCACUGGCCCGAUACUGACGCUGAGGCACGAAAGCGUGGGGAGCAAACAGG